GAGGGGCAGAGACAGAGGGAGACACAGAAUCCGAAGCAGGCUCUAGGCUUUGAGCUGUCAGCACAGAGCCUGAGACGGGGCUCGAACUCACGAACCGUGAGAUCAUGACCUGAGCUGAAGUCAGACCUUUAACCAGCUGAGACACCCAGGCGCCCCUCAAAAUGAAUACACUUAAAAAAAACAAAAAAAGAAGUGGGAACUUCUGUGGUUUCAACCGAAGUCCUUCCCUCCCACUUUACAGAUGCCAGCAUAUGACUUUGUCGUCCCUUUUGUCCCUCCAGAACAGGACACAGAGUAGGAGAGAGAAGUCUGAGGGCAGUGCAUGAGACCGGCUCACCUCUUCCUCACCGAGGGAUUGUGACCUAAUGCAACCAUGUGGGUGCUGGGCACGGAGUUGAGCAUAAAGGGAAGGAAGGCUCCUCUACGUUGCCUUCUCCUGCAAGCAAGCCCUGAACCCAACUUGGGACCUGAUGGAUACGAUGCUCCAGUCCAGCACUCACUGAAUACACCAUCAUAUUCACAGACCACCAUGCAUCAGAAUAAUCUUGAGGGCCACUUGGGAAAACAGCAGGCUGUUGCUGUGGACGCUGGAAAGAGCUGAGCUGUCGGUUUGCAGCCUAACUGGGCUUCCACUGGUCUUUCUGCAAAAUUUCAAGCACCAAUUCGACCGCUUUCUUAUCAACACUGCUGCUCUUGUGGGAACAUGUCUUCCUGGUUCAGCCAAGAAUUCUGCUGUCUGGGAUUGUUCAGGACAAAACCACAGUGCCCGUGGGGGGUGGUGUGUCUGUGUAAACUUGAACAUCAGAUUGCACUGGUAGGGCAGGUCCUUUGUUGGCCAGGCUUGACACCUUGUAUUCUUUCUUUCUCAGGCUGUGAAUAGAACAUGAUUUGGCAUCGGCCAAAUCCAUCUGCACAGAGUGAAAAGGAAGGCGCUAGGUGCAGGAGAGGGAGCCGGCAAAAGAGGAGGGAGUGGCUAAAUGAAUGAAAGCCUGAUGAGACCAUUGUGAAGAUUAAAAAGGCCUAUUUGUUAAACUGUGACCCCUUUAAAGGACAGUACAGGUUUUACCAAAGCAAGAACCCAGCCGGGCUACGGCUAAUUGCUGCCAUGUUUCUGAACGGUCUGCCUUUGGUAAGUGAUUUCCAUGGGAACAUGGCUGGCACCACGAGGAUGCGGCCGGAAGACGUGGGGGAGGGGAAGGCAGGGGCCCUCUGUUCACCUCCUCAGCCCCCCUGGCCCCAGCAGUCCCUGAAACCUCCCUGAGGAUCACAGAGUUCCGGGAGGAAGCUCUGUUCUCGGAGGCAGGGCACCCACGCCUGCACCCUGGCUCAUUGCUCACCUGGCUAAAUCACUUAGCCUCUCAGCCUUUGCUGAGACCUCUUGCGUAUUUGGAAUAAAGGCACUAAUAUUCCUGAGCCACUUGAUCGGGUUGUUUGUGAGGCCUAAAAUAAUACAUGUGAACACGCUCCGUAAACUGGGAUGAGCCGCGUGCAGGGGACUAUUGCCACAUUAACCUUAAUUCCUGCUCUUUUUCUAGGCUGAGUUGCAUCUUGUUUCUCUCUUUGAAAACUCCCUUCCCCCGUGGCUGGUCAGUUUCCACCAUGCUGUACCUCUGGAUCAUGCUUGAGCUCUGACGUUGUACUGCUCCGUCUCUCUUGGUGGGGGAGCACGAAGGGACCCUCUUCCCUGAACAUCUAUUUCUCUUCCUCAGCCCUGUCUCCUUCAGAUCCCUGCACACAGGUUGUCACUUGUCCAUGAUGAAUAUUUAGUGAAGGGUCUUCUGGAUUCUUGUUCUUCACCCCCUACUGGCGGGGAAUGAGGCCUCUUUCUUCCUUCCUACCUACCUCGAUGCAAAGCAUUCAAUGAACUCCUUCAAAGGAAUCUGAGGAGUCACUUUGUCCUCGUGGGAGCACAUGCCCCCUUCUGGCCUUUGCUCCUUUCGCUGCCUGGCCCAGCUUACCUUGCGUAUUGACAUCAAUCCCUGCAUCUGACACAGCCCCCAUCCGCUGGAGUAUCGGCUUCAUCUGGGCUUUUUUGGUGUGAGGACCAGCCAGCGCUGUCCCCAAGCCUCCCGUGCAGGUGUACAAUGUAGUGACUCAACAAUUCUCUACAUGACUCCAUUCUCAUCAUGAUUUCUGUUUCUUGGAUGGUCUGUGGCUUCCAGCAGAAUACUGAGUGAUCACUUUGUGAAGGGAGUCUUGGUCCUGAUCCUCAUGAGACUCAAGGAGGUGGAACAUUACUCCCCGUUCCUCAAGUGUCGCUGGGCACGGUGACUUCGUUCCAGAGGAUGCUGUAUGGAAGAGAGGGAAGAAGAGCAACUUCACAGUGGAGAAACCUGGUAGACCCCAUCACCUCAGUCAGGUGAUCACGGUCAACAUCAACCCGGAAAAGUCAUGUUGAUAACAUGUGCCCUUCAUGUGUGAUGACACUGGCCCUUGACUUGCAUUGUCUUCCUCUCCCAAACUCAGAACCCUAGAUGCAUCCUCAUGGAGGGACAUUCUACAAAAUACUGACUUGUGGUUGUCAAAGUCAAGGCAUACGUGUGAGGAACUGUCACAACCAAGAGGAGCCUAAGGAGACAUGACAACUGACUGUCGGAACACAAAAAGCAUAUUAAGUAAAAUUCCAUAAAAACGAAGGAAAUGUGAAUGAAGCAUAAUCUUGAGUUACUAAGAAUGCAUCAAUAUUGGUUCAUUAGUUGUAACAAAGAUACUAUACUAAUUUAAGGUGUUAGUGAUAGAGGAAACUGGGUGGGAGGUAUAUGAGAAUUUUUUUUUUUUUUUUUUUACUAUAUGCAGUUUUUCUGUAAAUACAAAACUGUUCUAAAAAAUAAAGUUUAUUUACUUAUUAAAAUUUUUUUAACAUUUAUUUAUUAUUGAGAGACAGAGCUUGAA